GUUUCCAGUUCUGAGCUCCGCCUCCCGUGGUUCAAGUCGACGCGGGCCCUUUCUUUGACACCAUCCGACCAACAGCUCAGUGAUCUGAAGUCUGAUGGGCCUUUGCCCAGAUCUUCACGUCGCGGGCCGUUGCUCCGCGCGCCCAGCUUCUAUCCGCCACCGCUUCCGCCAGCAUUUGCUUCUUCUCGGAUAGGAUCACGAAGUGGUGAUGUGAGAUAC